rnacentral:tRNA from 1 species
GCGCCGGUGGUCUAAUGGUAUGACUUGGGCCUUCCAAGCCCACGAUCCGGGUUCAAUUCCCGGCCGGUGCA